rfam:Rattus norvegicus chromosome 10, whole genome shotgun sequence.
GGGGAUUUGGCUCAGUGGUAGAGCGCUUGCCUAGCAAACGCAAGGCCCUGGGUUCGGUCCCCAGCUCCA